GCGGCGUGCCUAAUACAUGCAAGUCGAACGCUUUCAUUUCGGCGGGUGCUUGCUCCCUCCGAAAUGAAGGAGUGGCGGACGGGUGAGUAACACACUGGGUAACCUGCCCAUUAUUGGGGGAUAACAUUCAGAAACGGAUGCUAAUACCGCAUAUCUCUAUUGGCCUCAUGGCCAAGUGAUCGAAACGCGGCUUCUGCUGUCAUUUAAGGAUGGACCCGCGGCGCAUUCGUUACUUGGUGAGGACACUGCUCACCAGGACGAAGAUGCUUACCCGACCUGAUAGGGCGAUCAGCCACACCGGAACUGAGACACAGCCCACACUCCUACAGGAGGCACCAGGAGCGAAUCUUCCACACUGGACUAAAGUCUGACGGAGCAACGCCGCGUGAGUGAAAAAUGUUUUCGGAUCGUAAAACUCUGUUGUUAGAGAAGAACAAGGAUGAGAGUAACUGCUCGUCCCUUUGACGGUAUCUAACCCCAAAGCCAUGGCUAACUACGUGCCAGCAGCCGCGGUAAUACGUAGAUGGCAAGCGUUGUCCGGAUUUAUUGGGCGUAAAGCGAGUGCAGGCGGUUCUUUAAGUUUGAUGUGAAAGCCCCUGGCUUAACCAGGGAGGGUCAUUGGAAACUGGAGGACUUGAGUUCAGAAGAGGAAAGUGGAAUUCCAUGUGUAGCGGUGAAAUGCGUAGAUAUUUGGAGGAACACCAGUGGCGAAGGCGACUUUCUGGUCUGUAACUGACGGUGAGACUCGAAAGCAUGGGGAGCAAACAGGAUUAGAUACCCUGGUAGUCCAUGCCGUAAACGAUGAGUGAUAAGUGUUGGAGGCUUUGAGCCGUUCAUUGCGGAAGUAACGGCAUAAGUCGCUCGGCUGGGGGAGAAGGCCGGCAGGGUAAAAAUUAAAAGAAAUGGAGGGGGGCCGCCCCAGGCGUGGGACCAGGUGUUUAAUUUGAAACAAAGGGAAGGACCUUACCCAGUUCUGAACUCCAUAGAACCACUCAGGAGAGAGAGGUUUCCUUUGGGAGAUAAAGUACCGGGUGGGCCAGGGUGUUGUUAAGUUGGUGUGGGAAGAUGUGGGUUAAAUUCCGGAAAGGAGCCCACCCUUUUUUAUUAGUGCCAAGCAUUCAGCUGGGCACUCUAGGGAGACUGCCGGUGACAAACUGGAGGAAGGUGGGGAUGACGUCAAGUCAUCAUGCCCCUUAUGAGUAGGGCUACACACGUGCUACAAUGGAAGAUACAAAGAGAAGCGACACAGUGAGAGCAAGCUAAUCUUCUUAAAGCCAUUUUCAGUUCGGAUUGUAGGUCUGCAAUUCGCCUACAAGAAGCUGGAAUCGCUAGUAAUUGCGGAUUCAGCACGCCGCGGUGAAUACGUUUCCCGGGCCUUGUACACCCCGCCCGUCACCCCCAGAGAGUCGGUAACACCCAAAGUAGGUGAGGUAACCUUCGGGAGCCAGCCGCCCAAGGUGGGAUGCAUAAUUGGGGUGAAG
rnacentral:rRNA from 1 species